UGGGCGACAGAGCGAGACUCCGUCUCAAAAAAAAAAAAAAAAAAAAAAGAACUCUGGAUUGUAAUGAGCUAUGCCAAUCAUGUGUCCCCACUAAGUUCAGCAUCAUUAUGGUGACCUCCUGGGAGUUGGAGACUACCAGAUUGCCUAAGGAAGGGUGAUCUGGCCCAGAUCCAACAAGGAUUAAGUCAAAACUCCCAGGCUGACCAGUAGUGAGAUCAUGCCUGUGAACAGCCACUGCACUCCAACCU
rnacentral:sRNA from 1 species